CGUCGUCAGCUUACCCUGUGAAGGUCAAACAGUAAGCAAAAUGAGCUCAGCCCAAAACGUCAGGUCGAGGUGUAGCGCACGAGGUGGGAAGAAAUGGGCUACAUUUUCUACCACAGAACAUCACGAAUGGUCCCCUGAAACAUGAAACCUGAAGGAGGAUUUAGUAGUAAAAAGCAAAUAGAGUGUCCUUUUGAAUUAGGCUCUGAGGCGCGCACACACCGCCCGUCACUCUCCCCUUCCUAUUAUAAUUAACCAAACAUUCCUAAUUACACACAUAAAAAUACGGGGAGGCAAGUCGUAACAUG
rnacentral:rRNA from 1 species